rnacentral:rRNA from 1 species
CUACGGGGGGCACCAGUCGAGGAAAUUUUACAAUGCUCGAAAGAGUGAUAAAAUAAGCCAAAGUGUUUCUCCUAGAGAAACUUUUAUUUGUUGUAAAAAGACAGAUGAAUAAGGACUGGGCAAGACCGGUGCCAGCCGCCGCGGUAAUACCGGCGGUCCAAGUCGCAUCCACAUUUAUUGGGUCUAAAACAUUCGUAGCUUGUUUUGUAAGUUUCUUGUGAAAUCCUAUAUCUCAAGUAUAGGGCGUGCAAGAAAUACUGCAUUACUAGAGACCGGAAGGCGCAAAGAGUAUGAUUAAGGUAGCGGUAAAAUGUGUUAAUCUUAAUCAGACUAACAAUGGCGAAGGCACUUUGCGAGUACGGAUCUGACAGUGAGGAAUGAAGGCUAGGGGCGCAAAAGGGAUUAGAUACCCUAGUAGUC